CCCUUAGAUGUUCUGGGCCGCACGCGUGCUACACUGAGUGGAUCAGCGGGUCAGGUUGCGCGAAAGUGUUUCCUAAUCUUUAAAUCCGCUCGUGAUGGGGAUUGACGGUUGCAAUUUUCCGUCAUGAACGAGGAAUACCUUGUAAGCGCGGGUCAUCAUCCCGCGCUGAAUACGUCCCUGCCCUUUGUACACACCGCCCGUCGCUCCUACCGAUUGAAUGGUUUAGUGAGGACUCCUGAUUGGCGCCGCCGCCCCGGCAACGGAGCAGCGGACUGCCGAAAAGUUGUUCAAACUUGAUCAUUUAGAGGAAGUAAAAGUCGUAACA
rnacentral:rRNA from 1 species